rnacentral:rRNA from 1 species
GAUGAACGCUGGCGGCGUGCCUAAUACAUGCAAGUCGAGCGAACGGACGAGAAGCUUGCUUCUCUGAUGUUAGCGGCGGACGGGUGAGUAACACGUGGAUAACCUACCUAUAAGACUGGGAUAACUUCGGGAAACCGGAGCUAAUACCGGAUAAUAUUUUGAACCGCAUGGUUCAAAAGUGAAAGACGGUCUUGCUGUCACUUAUAGAUGGAUCCGCGCUGCAUUAGCUAGUUGGUAAGGUAACGGCUUACCAAGGCAACGAUGCAUAGCCGACCUGAGAGUGUGAUCGGCCACACUGGAACUGAGACACGGUCCAGACUCCUACGGGAGGCAGCAGUAGGGAAUCUUACGCACUGGGCGAAAGCCUGACGGAGCAACGCCGCGUGAGUGAUGAAGGUCUUCGGAUCGUAAAACUCUGUUAUUAGGGAAGAACAUAUGUGUAAGUAACUGUGCACAUCUUGACGGUACCGAAUCAGAAAGCCACGGCUAACUACGUG